rnacentral:rRNA from 1 species
GACGAACGCUGGCGGCGUGCCUAAUACAUGCAAGUAGGACGCACAGUUUAUACCGUAGCUUGCUACACCAUAGACUGUGAGUUGCGAACGGGUGAGUAACGCGUAGGUAACCUGCCUAUUAGAGGGGGAUAACUAUUGGAAACGAUAGCUAAUACCGCAUAACAGUAUGUAACACAUGUUAGAUGCUUGAAAGAUGCAAUUGCAUCGCUAGUAGAUGGACCUGCGUUGUAUUAGCUAGUAGGUAGGGUAAUGGCCUACCUAGGCGACGAUACAUAGCCGACCUGAGAGGGUGAUCGGCCACACUGGGACUGAGACACGGCCCAGACUCCUACGGGAGGCAGCAGUAGGGAAUCUUCGGCAAUGGGGGGAACCCUGACCGAGCAACGCCGCGUGAGUGAAGAAGGUUUUCGGAUCGUAAAGCUCUGUUGUUAAGGAAGAAACGAGUGUGAGAAUGGAAA